CCGCGAACCCCCUUAAUAAUAACUUUAUUGACUGCAAGAACAUGUGUUAUCAGCUCCUGGACAGACACACAUUUAAAAUCUGAAAAUUAGUUUAAUAUAUUUACCAAAUUUUAUGUUCAGAUAUUUUAUAUUAACUACAAGAAGUAGAUUCAUUUAUUAUUGUCUGUUACUUUUUAACACUGUUAUGCUAUAUCAGUACUGUGCC
rnacentral:lncRNA from 1 species